rnacentral:snRNA from 1 species
AAGCUUUAAACUUAUAAGGUAAGGAAAAUAACGAUUUGGGGUGAUGCCUGAAUUCUCACUGCUAAAGUGAGACAAAUUUUUGAGCUGGUAAAGGUUGUCCUUAAGGUGACCCGCCUACUUUGUGGGUACCUGGAGUCGUGAUCUGCCCA